rnacentral:rRNA from 1 species
GUGAGUAGUUCAGAGUUUGAUCCUGGCUCAGGACGAACGCUGGCGGCGUGCUUAACACAUGCAAGUCGAACGAGGAUAUUUCAGAGGAGAGCUUCGGCAGGAAUCAGGGAUAUUCGAGUGGCGGACGGGUGAGUAACGCGUGAGCAACCUGUCCCAGACAGGGGGAUAACACUUGGAAACAGGUGCUAAUACCGCAUAAGACCACGGUAUCACAUGGUACAGAGGUAAAAGGAGCAAUCCGGUUUGGGGUGGGCUCGCGUCCGAUUAGAUAGUUGGUGAGGUAACGGCCCACCAAGUCAACGAUCGGUAGCCGACCUGAGAGGGUGAUCGGCCACAUUGGAACUGAGAGACGGUCCAA